rnacentral:rRNA from 1 species
GAACGAGGAUAUAUCCUUCGGGAUAUAAGUCGAGUGGCGGAAGGGUGAGUAAUGCACAGACAACCUGCCUUUAGGAUAAGAAUAACUCUGUGAAAGCGGAGCUAAUACUUAAUAAUACAAAGAAAAGGUUCUUUUCUUUGUCAAAAAAGGGUAUUUAUACCUUUUGCCUAGAGAGGGGUUUAUGUCCUAUCAGCUUGUUGGUGGGGUAACGGCCUACCAAGGCGAAGACGGGUAACCGGCCUUAGAGGGUAGUCGGUCACACUGGAACUGAGACACUGUCCAGACUUCUACGGAAGGCUGCAGUCGAGAAUCUUUCGCAAUGCCCGAAAGGGUGACGAAGCGACGCCGCGUGGAUGAAGAAGGCCUUCGGGUUGUAAAAUCCUGUCAGGAGUUAAGAAAUAUAAGUUUGAUAAUACCAAAUUUAUUUGACAAAGGCUCCAGAGGAAGCCACGGCUAACUCUGUGCCAGCAGCCGCGGUAAUACAGAGGUGGCAAGCGUUGUUCGGAAUUAUUGGGCGUAAAGAGCACGUAGGUGGAUUUGUUAGUCAGAUGUGAAAGCCUUUCGUUCAACGGAAGAAUUGCAUCUGAAACUACAAACCUUGAGUAUAGGAGGGGAGAGUGGAACUUCUGGUGGAGCGGUGAAAUGCGUAGAUAUCAGAAGGAACGCCGGCGGCGAAAGCGACUCUCUGGCCUAUAACUGACACUGAGUGUGCGAAAGCUAGGGGAGCAAACGGGAUUAGAUACCCCGGUAGUCCUAGCCGUAAACGAU